rnacentral:rRNA from 1 species
UGCAGUUAAAAAGCUCGUAGUUGGAUUUCUGUGGGGACGGGGCGGCCGGUCGCAACUUGCGACUCGAGCUAGCACUUUCCCCACAUCCUGCCGCGAACCGUGCUACCAUUAGUUUGGUGGCGCCGGGGAUCGGCUCGAUUACUUUGAGAAAAAUAGAGUGUUCAAAGCAGGCCACACGCCUUGAAUAAGUUAGCAUGGAAUAAUGACUAAGGACUUUGGUUCUUUUCGUUGGUGUUCGGGACUGAAGUAAUGAUUGAUAGGGACAGUUGGGGCGGUCUGUAUUCCAAAGCGAGAGGUGAAAUUCUUAGACCUUCGGAAGACAAACAGCUGCGAAAGCGUUCCGCAAGGAUGUUCCCUUUGAUCAAGAACGAAAGUUGGGGGAUCGAAGACGAUCAGAUACCGUCGUAGUCUCAACUAUAAACUAUACCAGCUAGGGAUCGGCCAACGUUUAAUUAUUCGACUUGGUCGGCACCUUAUGAGAAAUCAAAGCAUCUGGGUUCCGGGGGGAGUAUGGUCGCAAGGCUGAAACUUAAAGGAAUUGACGGAAGGGCACCACCAGCCGUGGAGCCUGUGGCUUAAUUUGACUCAACACGGGAAAACUUACCAGGUCCAGACAUAGUAAGGAUUGACAGAUUGA